rnacentral:lncRNA from 13 species
GAACAACACAGCUUAUCUGGCAGCUUUUCUACCUUCACUUUUGUCUUAGGUUACAAUGUAAGAUGUAACCAAAAGUAUAUAUUCUAUGACCAUCUAUUAAAACCAGGCGGGGCAGUGUUCUUUGUCUCUUCCAUAACACAUCCCUAAUAACUCCUUCCAGGAGAUAUCUUCUGUUAAUGGGCCAUCCAGCCUCACUUCGUGACUCAUAACCUUACAUCAUCCCAUUGUGAGAUGCUCUGCCCAGGGGGAGGAACCAAGCAUUGCUACCUGGAUAUGAUCUGAGGUUUGGAACACCACAGUCAGCCUUACCUACUGGAUUCCCAGAGGACAAGAGCUACAUAAGCACUGCUGGACCUUCAGAGAAAGACCAGACCCCUCUACAGAGUCACUGCUUCAACAGUGAUUGAAGAGAUUCAAAGAGGACUGCAGCCACCACCCUGCAGCACACAGGAAAAUUUUUAUGCCUUGGGAGAUGUGCAGCAUAUAACAAACUUCCAACAUGCAGAAGCAGUUCUGGGAAGAAGCGAAGGAGACAUGAAGAAGAAAAUUGGUUUGAUUCCUUUGAACUGUGUUUAUCAAGUUGUGUUUUGAGACAGAGGCUUUUGGAUGUUGGCACUGUUUUACCAUCUACAUCAUUUAAAGUCUAGUAAAUAGCAGUCAACUCAGUACACCUGAAAACCUUCUAACUUUCUCAGCUGCAUCGUUCGCUGGAGGAAAAGCAUGUCACAAGGGAAUUUUUUUCAAAUUUUUUUUGACUCUUAAAUAAACAUAUCCAAGGUGCACAUAUCUAAGGAGAAUGUCCCUAGAAAAAUAAAUACUUAAUUUAUGUUCAAUUUUGCUUUCUGUAUGACACAUUGCCAUAUGUAACCAAAAGUAAUUUGUUUCCAGUCAGAAGGUGGAAAUGGAAAAUCUGGAGACAAAUGUGGCAAAUGUUCUGUGGAAUCACAGUGACACGAUAUUAAAAUGGCCAAAUGUCAUGCUUCCUUUGGACCAUAACUAAAAUAGUUUUGGCAUGCAAAUGCUUCUGUGUUUAUUAGGGGCAACUUUACCAUGGAUUUGGGCAUAUGUGAUAAUUUAGAUGACAUUUAUUCUUCUUAGAAGGGGAUGCACUGUACAAACUCUUAAUUACCAUGUUAAUAUCACCACUACAUCUAGCAAGAUCUUACCCAUUCUCUUUUAUAACUAAAGUGGCUAGAAACUAAGCCAGCUACUUGGCAUACUUCUUUCGCUUGUAAUACAAGAGCCUGUGAAAAUCUCACUGCCUUUGCUACUCAUAAGGUCAAAGAAAUUGGUUAAUGAAGUUUUAUCUGGCCUUCAAGCAUCAGUUCAUCAGAUACUGUGUAGAGAAACCAUGGUCCUAAUUUAGACCGGAUGAUGUUCCCACCUUGUAAGUAUGCCAGUUAGGAGGAUGACACAUGUAUUCAAUACGUGAACAAGGCAAUAGAGAAAAAGAUCUGAGAAGAAGGGAUUAUUGACUGUCCUAAGGAGCUCACAAUUGGGUGAUGGCAUGACUAGGCUGUACCAUUCUUCAAAAGUAGAAAGCACAGUGUUUUUCAGGAAAAACACAUUAUUGUAACUCAGAGGAUUAAAACUGCUGUAAUUAAUGAGCGAGUUAACAUCUGUGGUGCUUUUUGUAUUCCAGAAGUGCUUGCAAGUCCAAUGACCAUUGCAAAUGCAGGGAAGAAUUUAGCCUAGAAAGCUUUCUUUCCAAAAGGCUUACAGAAAUGGUUUGGAUCUUUUAAACCUGAGUGUUAUUUUUGAACUCAGAUAUUCUUCUAAUUUUGAGAAACCCAUGACGAAUAAGUUUGGUCCUGCAUGGGAGUGUGGAGUGGUGCUUAUGACGAAGAGAGUUGAGAGCUUUAUUUGGUAAUCAGGUUUUCAGACUCAUUUCACAAAGAAUUGCUAAGG